AACCAACUCCUGAAUCAACCUCUACCGUUGGAUUUGGCUGAGAUUAAAUCUCAGCCACAUAAACUCCCAAAAUCAACUGCUAUGAUGGCGGUUCUUGACAGUUACUUGCAGUUUUAGCAGGUUACCAAAUAACUCCCCACUAUCCCCUCUCCUCCCAUAUAAUUCUCGUAUAGUGGAAGAGGUUUUAGGGUUCUUUAUCCAUAUCGAACCGUCACUCACACACAUUUCACUAUCUUUUCUGAAACCCACCAGACCACUAUGUUCGCAGCCCUCCGGUGAACCACUGUGAAUCGCCAUUCCAUGUUAGUGCAAAAUCAAACUUCAGUUUGAACAAAGAAGGGAUUUGGGUGAUGAUUAUGUAAUUUCUAAGGGGGGCAAAAUCAAACACUGAUUUCAACAGAAGGAAAAAAUUAUCGCAUGUAACUCUUAUGUUGAGUUGAGAGAUGGGGACGACAACAAUAUGGCAGGUCCUAAACUAACAGAACCGACAAUUUGCUGUAAUGGGUAUCGUUUUCUAUAUCCAAGUUGAAUUGGUUGAUUUUUCGAUGGAUUUGUUUGUGGUAGUGAUGAUUUAUGCAGGUUGAUGUCUCCUUCGUGGAUUUGGUUGUAGUGGUUUUUGUUUUUUGCAGUUUUCCCAACAACGCCAUUGCUGAUUUGGUCAUCAUCCCUCCAAGUUGUUUAAUUGAUCAGAUCUUCAUCCGGCCAACAAAACUGUUCUUACUUCUUUAUCACAUGCUCACAUCCGUCUACAACUUCAUCGACAAGUUUUCUACAACUGAACUUUUCAAUCAUCUAUUGAAGCUGGUACUUUGUUGGAGAGAGUAGACGCGUUUGAUGUGAAUGGGAACUCGGGUUUGAUUUCUAAUUUGUGGACGGAUCAGAAGGUCGGUGUUUCAUUUGCACAUCUUUAUGGGUAUGCAUCAAUAUUCCUCAAGCUCAAAAAAGUAAGAGCUAGAAAAGGGUUAUCUUUUUCCUUGAAUCUGUUUAUUUAUUCGUCAAAACUUAAUACUAAUAUCUGUUUAUUUGAAGGUUCUUUGUUUUUUGGCAUGACGAAUAAGGUGUGGAGGUUGUAAUUUUCUUUUAAGUUUGUUUUGCCUCUAUAUGUACAUCUAAUCAAUGUUUUCUAUUUUAGUGUGCGACACCUAUUGGUAUACGUCUUCUACGGUGAACAUGAAUUUCCAAGUUCUAUUCCAGUAAUCAUAGAACUUUACCUAUAAGUUUAUAAUGUUGGUAUCGGAAAAUUGUUUUUUCCAGUAACAAGACAUGGUUUUCUUAAUUUGGCCCUUGGAGAUGAAACACAACCAAAGUCGACCCGUUUUUAGAUUAUCUUGUGUGUAUGCUGAUUUUAAUGUUGGUGCCCCUUUUGAAUGCAGUUACAAAUGGGGAGCGACUUGAAGAGAUCAGUUGAUGUGUAUGUAUUUCGAAAUGGGGAGUGAUUUGAAGACCUGGGUAUUAGAUAAGUUGAUGCCCGUCUUGGGAUAUUCGCAACCCGCCUUGGUUCAACAUGUGUUUACUUUAUCUAAGAAAGCUUCAUCUCCUGAUGAUGUAUAUAAUAAUCUUAAAGACAUGGGGGGUGUCAUCUUCUAACAACACACACAUUUGGUGAAGAAAUAUUCCAGAAGGUUGAAUAUAAGAGAUCUGACAUUUGUUACAGUGACUGACUGCCUGACAAAGAACGAGAGGAGUUAUAGCAUCAUCUAAAGAAAAAAAAAAGAUGCCGCCAGGGUGAUAAAAGUCUACUUUUAGUGAUCAUCAUUUAAGCAAUCUAAUUUUAAUAUGAAUUGAUUUUUGGUUUUUCAAGAAUUUAUGAAUUGAUUCCAAUUAUGAUUCCCUAAUCCUAUUUAAUAUGAAUUUAAUGUUUGGUUA